ensembl:miRNA Mir3070b microRNA 3070b
GUGCUGAGUGAGGCUGAGCCCCUGACCUUGAACCUGGGAUCCUCCCCCAUGAUCUUCUGGUGCUAUGGUCAGGGGUAGAUUCCUUGUCAU